CCAGAACAUCAGCUCUGGACCAGCAGAUGCCAGAAGGCAGGCCCACCCCUGCCCUGCCAAGCUGAGCCGCUCACCGCAUCCAUCAGUGUAAACUGCUCUGCUACCAAGUCGGGAGGGAACACCAAGAGGGAAGCCCCGCCCAUGCCUCUGCACGUCUCCCGGCCCCUCUCCUCGCUGGACCAUAAACUCCACGAGGGAUCUGUCCUCCUGCCUGGCAUCCGCAGGUCCCUGGCGCCUCCUCAACUUGUAGCUUGGUGCUGGCAAAGCCCCCAGACCCCAGCCCUCCAGCAGGAACCGCAAGAGGUGUGGGAGCCACGGUUCUGCGCAGCCGGCGCCAGCCCCAGCCCCA